UCCUCUUUUGAUAUUAUAAAAAUCUUUCAGAUUAUAAGUUUAACAUGAAAAUUAUGUGAGAUUCAGCUAAAAAUAUUAAACAAUAUUAGAAAUAAUAAUUUAGAUUAAUAACAGAUAUUGACUAAUCAAGUGCCAGCAGUCGCGGUCAUACUUGAGAUAAAAGAAGAAUUUAAGCUUAGAAAUAUAACUAUCAUAUAUUUAGUAAAAUAUUAUAUUAUUUUAUCAAUAUUAUUAUCUAUAAAUUUCAAUUUUAAACUAGGAUUAGAUACCCUAUUAUAAAGAAACUAAAAACUAUUGCUUAAGUACUAAAAUAAUUUUAUUAAAACUUAAAUAAUAUGGCGGCAGAAAAAGAUCUCAGGGGAACUUACCAUUUAAUAGAUAACCCUCACAAAAAACAACUUAUUUUUAUAGUUUAUAUAUCGUCGUUGAGGAGUUUUUUUAGAAGACUCCAAAAUCAUCUUGAAAAAAACAGAUCAUGAUAUAGCUUAUAAAUAAGUAAUGGCGAGUUACAAUAUUUUAAAUAUUCACAAAAUGUAAAAGUUUGUGUAAAUAGGACUUGAUAGUAAAUAUUAUAAUAAAUAUAUAUUGAACUUUCUUUUUCUGUGUACAAAUCGCCCGUCACUCUCGUUUAUAUUAAAUGAGAUAAGUCGUAACAUAGUAGAGGUACUGGAAAGUGUUUCUGUCAAUAU
rnacentral:ncRNA from 1 species